rnacentral:rRNA from 1 species
CCCUUAGAUGUUCUGGGCCGCACGCGCGCUACACUGAUGCAUUCAACGAGUCUAAAACCUGCUCUGAUAGGGGUGGGUGAUCUUUUGAAUGUGCAUCGUGAUUGGGAUAGAUGAUUGCAAUUUUUCAUCUUCAACGAGGAAUGCCUAGUAAACGCAAGUCAUCAGCUUGCAUUGAUUACGUCCCUGCCCUUUGUACACACCGCCCGUCGCUCCUACCGAUUGAAUGAUCCGAUGAAUAUCAUGGAUUGAGGAUGCAAGUAGGUUCGCCUAUCUUCAUCUUCGAGAAGUGAAGUAAAUCUUAUCAUUUAGAGGAAGGAGAAGUCGUAACA